rnacentral:rRNA from 1 species
CGAGUGGCGGACGGGUGAGUAAUGUCUGGGAAACUGCCUGAUGGAGGGGGAUAACUACUGGAAACGGUAGCUAAUACCGCAUAACGUCGCAAGACCAAAGAGGGGGACCCUCGGGCCUCUUGCCAUCGGAUGUGCCCAGAUGGGAUUAGCUUGUUGGUGGGGUAACGGCUCACCAAGGCGACGAUCCCUAGCUGGUCUGAGAGGAUGACCAGCCACACUGGAACUGAGACACGGUCCAGACUCCUACGGGAGGCAGUAUG